rnacentral:rRNA from 1 species
UACGGAGGGUGCAAGCGUUAUUCGGAUUCACUGGGCUUAAAGGGUGCGUAGGCGGGCAGGUAAGUCCGUGGUGAAAUCUCUGAGCUUAACUCAGAAACUGCCAUGGAUACUAUUUGUCUUGAAUAUUGUGGAGGUAAGCGGAAUAUGUCAUGUAGCGGUGAAAUGCUUAGAUAUGACAUAGAACACCAAUUGCGAAGGCAGCUUGCUGGACAGUUAUUGACGCUGAGGCGCGAAAGCGUGGGGAGCAAACAGG